GCCGUACCUGCAGCAUAUGGAAGUCCCCUGGCUAGGGACUGAAUCAGAACUGCAGCUGCCAGCCUACGCCACAGCCACAGCCACAGCAAUGCAGGAUUCAAGUCAUGCCUGCAACCUACACCACAGCUCAUGGCAACGCCAGAUCCAUAACCCAGUGAGCAAAGCCAGGGAUCAAAUCUGCAUUCUCAUGAAUACUUGGUUGAGUUCCUAACCUGCUAAGCUACAGCAAGAAAUCUUAUAUUUAUUUUUUCCAAAUAAUUUUAUUUAUUUUUAAAAAUUGAACUAUAGUUGAUUUACAAUGUUGAGCAAAUUUCUGCUGUAUAGCAAAGUGAUCAAGGCAUAUAAUACAUAUACAUAUACAUAUAUUCUUUUUCUCAUAUUAUGUUCUGUCAUGUUCUAAGAGAUUGGAUACAGCUCCCUGUGCUGUAGAGUAAGGUCUCAUUGCUUAAAUUUGGGCUUCAAUGAAAGUACCAACUGGACUAGCUUUGUCCUAGAUCUCCUUGCUUUGUGAUCAGUGGACCGGAAGGCCCUCCUCUUGAGAGGGGUGAGGCUUUGGGUCUCCCUUGGAGGAGUCAGAGCCCCAGAGACUGUCAUUGCCCCAGCUCCCACUGCACUUGAGUGUGGGGGGACAGUGGUCAAGAAGGAAGCCUCAGAGAGGCAGCCCAGAACCCUCUAUCAUCACGGCUUCCAGGGAAAAGGCAGAGAUACCCUGGAACAGUUAUGGGCUGGGGAGCCUGGCAUGCUGAUGCACGGAUGGAAUGAGAAAGUUUGUGUGUGUGUGUGUGUGUGUGUGUGUGUGUGUGUGUGUGUGUAAGAGAGAGAGAGAGGAAGAGGGAAUCUUACCUCCUUCCUCUGCCUGUGGAGAGCUGCCAGGUGAAGCCAAAAGAACCAUCCAAUGGGGUCACAGUCAGAUGCCCUCUGGUCUGAUCUUAACCUGCCUCUUUACUGGUGUAGCAUGUAGGAGGCAAAGAAACAGAUACUCAUUCAGGCUGCCUCAGGGCAGAGAGGUUUAUUGUCUAGGUGAGUGUGAUGUAGUAGAGAGGGACGGACACCCCCAGCAGGGGAUCCAAGAGUAGAAAAACUAGAACUCAUAGAUGCCAAAACUGGGUGGUGACUCAGAAUCCUAAGACAUUCCAGGGCCUUCAGCAACAGGAUCCAUGGAUUUGAUUAAGCAUGCAGUGGAUUUUGGUGUCAGACUACUUGGAUUAGAAAUGGGACUCUUGGCAUGGACAAGAUGCUCAACCUCUUUAAAACCUUUAUUUUCAUUUUCUGCAAGAUUUGAAUAAUCAUACCAUCAUCUUCAGAAUAGUGUAAGGUAGGAUAAUGUACAUAGACCAUACAUUCAUCCUUUCUAUACAGAGCCUACUUUGUAAAAAUCCUACUAUGGCUACCCAUUGCCCUUAGAAUAAAACCUAAAUUUUAGCCACAGCUCAAAGGCCAUAUGUGAUUCUGGACUUUUCCUUCUCUCCAAAUUCCCCUUCCCCCUUCCCCUUCUCUGUCACUGCCAGCCCACCCCCCAUCAUUUUCCAUCUUCCUGGUUGUUUGUGUCUUCUUCCAACACACCAAGAAUUUAUGAUCUGGUCUACCUAGAAUGGAAUAGUCUCCUUCCAGGUCUUUACACGUCUGAGUUCUUUUUAUUCUUCAGGGCUCAACUUAAAUAAUCCCUUUCAGAGCCUCUCCUGACUGCUCUCCCUUAAUCUAAAGAAGCCAAACUCCUUCCCACGAUCAAAUGACCCGGCUUCUCUGCUGCCUAGUGUCUUAUUAUGACCCCCACAUUUUUGAGUCUUUUUGUAAGUUUGCUGUCUUCCCUACUGGAAAAUAAGGGAAGACAGGGGUCUUGCUUACCCUGCUCCACAGUCUAUCCCCAAAACUUAGAAAAGUGCCUGGCUCAGAGGAGUUGCUCUGUAAGGAUUAGUCAGAAGAAUGAAUAGAUGGGUGGAUGGAUGAGUAAAUAAAGAUGGUAGAAUGUUCUAGCAGGAUAGUGAUGGAAAGCUGUCCUUUAAGUUCCUUCUAGUCCAGUGAUUCCUUACCUUCCGUAGUUUGUUUAGCUCCUCCCCUGCCCUGAACCCCCCACACAGUGGGCAGUUUGAAGGUGGGGAACAUUUUGCAGACAUACUGACCAGGGACACCAUGAGGCAUCAAGGGUUUGGAGCUGGGCAGGCUAAACACCCUGCAAGGCACAGAAAAGUCUGAUUCCAUAACCCGUGAUCCCUUGGGACCCCCCCCCCCGAAAAAUGCCAAUAGCCUUCCAUUUGAGGAAAAAUGGCUAGUCUAGUCAUCUGAUUUUAUACUGGUUGCGAACUGCGCUUCAUGGGUGUUUCAAAGCUGCCAGCCCCUGGUGUUCCAGCCAGGGCCUGUCCAACAGAUUUCCAGCUUCACUGAAGAGAACCUCAAACUGGUUCAGAAAUGGUUAACCCCAGCUAAGACAGCGGCUCUUUUGCUUGCAAGCUUUUAUUUUCAGUGACUAAUGGGUAAGAGGGACAUGAGCUUGCCCGGUCUAUGGAGGAUGCAGCAGAAACCACGUCUCUGAGGCCCAUUCCUGUGAUUACUGAGCUGAGCAUGAGUGAUAGGAUAUUUUGAGGAGAUAAAAGUGUCUGACCAGCUAAUAACCACCAGACGCCAGCACCAAGAUGGGGCGGGGGAUAGUGCGGGGAAUGUGGCUCAGACAGAGAGGCCCCGGGAGGGAGCCAUGCCUGGCAGGAGCACACACACACACACACACACACACACACACACACGCAAUCCAGGCACUCAGAGACGCAGCACGAAAACUCAUACGCAUGCACCUAGAACACAUCCUACAGACAGACACUGAGCAUACCCGGAUACACUGUAUUUUAAGCUACAGGACACAGACUCCACACAUAGGCUCACACACUCUUUCUAUAUACUUAUCCAGAUACAUUCUUCCUAGACACACUGCACAUCCACACACAGCCUUCCACACCAAGACACACCCAUAUGGCAAAGACAGAUAGAACACACCUAACACAACAUGUAAUGGAUGGGUGCACACAUAUAUAACAUAUACGCAACACACAAAACUCACUCCUACAGAUAAUGCUCAUUCACACAUCAUCUCCACUAAAAACUACAAUGCACAAAUAUACAUAUACAUGCAUACAUGCAUAUAUACAUAUGGACAUACAUACAGACAGACAGACAUGUGUACAUACCAACACACACAAUCACACAUAAUACUUAGAAAAGUAUGUAUACAAGUGCAGGUCUAUUUAGCACAGAUAUAAACAUAGACACCACACAUGCAUACACAUAUAUACACACAUACAUACACUGCAAACACACACACACACCUUAGAAGUACACAUGUAAGGCACAACACAUAACACACCCUUGCCUCUUAGAGAUACACAAUCCUAAGAGACAAACACCACACGAAACCUAUACCAUACAUAUGUAUAUGUUUCUCUUUUGCUCACAACUACUCAUUUUUAUUGUUAUUUAUUUUUUGAACAUGCCCAUGGCAUGAGGAAGUUCCCAGGCCAGGAAUUGAACCUGUGCCACAGCAGUGACAAUGCCAGAUUCUUAACUCACUGAGCCACCAAGGAAUUCCAACAACAUUUUAAAAUUUGUGUGUGUGGCAUAUUCAAUUUGCUGUACACCUGAAACUAAUACAACAUUGUAAGUCAAUUAUACACCAAUAAACUAAAAAAAAAAAUUAACUUUCAGACCUACACUCUAAUGAUUGCAUCCAAUCAGAUAAUAUAUAAAUGCUAUUUUGAAAUUAUCAGAUUAAAAAAGUAAUUGUGUACAGAAAGCUAAUGUGUCAUUUGAUUCUCUCAUUUUUUUUUUGGAUCCCAAUGUCUGUGAUAAUCAUCCCUACAAAAAACAGAAAAUCAGCCCUAGCAUAGUAGAGAUGGUGCUUGUUUUUCUGAUCUUCUCUGGCUACAGGAAGAGGAGAGCAGGAAGGAGAAGAGAAGGGCCCCAGGACACCCAAGGGGCCAGGGAGACUCUGACCUUGGUUGCAGGACACCUGAGUUAGAGCUACAAUCUGGUGCUAUCCUAUGGUGUUUCUGGGGUCUGUUGUUUCCCAUUUCUGAGCCUCAGUUUCUUCACCUGCAAAAUGGGCAUGAACCUGCCCUGGAGGGUUAAGUCAAGUCAACUCUACUAUAUAAUUCAAAUGUGAAUUGUGGGCUUGAUCACUUCAUAUUCCUAAGCAAAGAUGAACAGGCCUGUGACAACCUAACAAAAGCAUCAGUUUUCAGUUGAUCCUCCUCAUGUGUCUUUUCUUCCCAGGGAAAUCCUGUGCUGUAUAAAUAAUUUUGGGCUUGUCCACAGAGAAAAUCUAUAGCUUAUUUUAUUGUCUUUAUUGAGUUUUUAUUAAGUGCCAGAUCCUCUUGCCAAGCAGUCUACCUGUAUCAUCUAAUUUAAUUCUCUCAAAACAACUCCAAGAAGUGGGUUUUGUUACCACCUCCCCUCCAUUUUUUCAGAUGAGGAAAUCAAGGCACAGUUUAGCCAAGAGAUUUGCCUGAGAGCUCACCAGUUGAUGAGUUUGGAGCCAGGAUUCAAACCCACUCUGCUGUGACAUAGAGGGCUAUCCCUCUGCAUACUUUUGCAUAGGCUGCUCUCCACCAAAACCAGCCAUGAAGGUUCUCUUGUGUUGGCAGGUGAAAUCAGCUUGAAGUUAAAGCUCAGGCUGAUUCUAAGAAACCCUUUGAUGCUGGCUCAUCCCAGGUAUAACUUCCAGGCUCAUCCAGGGUAUAACUCACCUCUCCCUUAAUACAAAGUCUCCAUCCAAGUUCAUAGCACACUUUCAAACUUCUUAAGCCCUACCUCCUCCAUCUAUAACCCUUACCCUUCUCGACAGUCGCAAAAUAGUUAACAUAUGCCAUCAAAAAGACACUGGGAAGUAGGUCUUACUCCUGUUAUACCUUGUUUCCACUCUCCGCUGUUUGUGAUUGGUAACUUUGGGUUGAUCAAUAUACAAUAUUUCUAUCAAUGACACUGGAGGCCCAUGCGGGCAUUAGGACUUUCUUUUAGGCAUUUAAUAUUGCCUUUUGUAUACUCCACACUGCAGGCUGGCUGGUGAUUGAAAAACAGGAAUUUAGAGUCAGGGAUCUUGGAUUCAAAUCCUGGCUCUGUAACUCUGCACAACCUUGAACACAUUAAACUUUCCAGUGUCCCAGUUUCUUUCUUUGUAAAUUUGCGUUAAAUCCCAAUACAGGGAUUUGAUGGGGUUGUUUUGGGGUCUCAGUGAGUUAAUGUUAACGAAGGGUUUAGAAUAGGACCUGGCACAGAAAUAUUAGCCAUCCUCCGCCUCCAUCUAGAUCUAUGGCUCCUUCCACUGUUUCAGUUGACGAGGCUCUUGGUGCUUUGUUUUAUAUUUCAGUGCCUUCCAGUUAGAGUCCCUCUUCUGGGUGAGCCUUUCUCCAGCCACCUUUGUCUUCUCGAUCACCAUCCCUGACAUCUCAUUUCCCGAAAAUAACAGAGGCUCCCCAGCACACCUUGACUUUGUCUCCUAGAGAUUCAGUGCAAGCUGUGCUCCAAGGAACUGCCCUGGUUCCUUUUCUUCGAAGGCAAAUCAAUGGACCCAAAUCCAGAUUUUAGAGGGGCACAGUUCCCUCCCUCUGCUGGUGGGAAGGUGACACCAGAGGUGGCAUGAUUAAUUUGAGUGACAAAGGGCACUAGAGUGAUGUAACGUGAUUAUAUGCUGCUAUUUUCCUUUUUUGUUCUUUCUUUCUUUUUUUAGGGUCGCACCCAUGGCAUAUGGAGUUUCCCAGGUUAGGGGUGGAAUCAGAGCUGUAGCUACUGGCCUACACCACAGGCACAUCAAUGUUAGAUCCGAGCUGCGUUUGUGACCUACACCACAGCUCAGAGCAAUGCUGGAUCCUUAACCCACUGAGCGAAGCCAGGGAUCAAACCAUUGCCCUCAUGGAUGCUAGUCAGAUCCAUUUCUGCUGAACUGAUGGGAACUCCUACUAUUUCCCUUAUAACCUGCUUUUUGUAGUCCUUUCCUACGUGCUCCCAAACGGAGAGCUUCAAUUUCCAUUCUCCCUGCUUUUCCUGGGUUCCCAGCUUCUCUUUCCUUUCAUUUACAAAAUCCUCCCACCAACUUUGCUAUAUCAUGCUCAUUUUGUCACAACAAGCCUCGUGUUUAAAUUACUAUGUAAUCCCAAGAUGUAGAAACUUUGAGUUUGUUCUUUGAUAACAUUAGAUCUUAUCCACAUGUACGACUUUGGUGGAAAAUUCACUCUUCUCUUAGUCAUCUGCUGUACUUUCCCAGGGUUCAGAGGGAAGAAAUGUGGUUUGGUAAGAACAUAUAGGCUGCACCUCCAUGGGAAGAAAUUCAGGUCAUGUGUGUGUGCAUGUAUAGGUCAAAAACUGUCCAAUUUAUUGUGGUUCAUCCUUAGAGCUUUGGCCUCCUACCCCAGGAGAGAACUUAAGUGUUCAAGAACGUGGGGUUUCCAGCUUCGUAAAUAAAUUGAACUGAAUUCUUGUCAUUCCCACAUUUUUGACACUGGUUCCGCAGUUCAUGACUUUGCCACAGGCCCUCUGAGGCUGAACUCCAACUUCUUACAAACCUUGUAUACAUGUCGACACACGUUGGCUCUUUUAACCACCCUAAGACCACCUAACAUCAGUUGAGAAUAUUAGAAAGACUGAAACAAAUACAUAUUAAAGAUUUUUUUAGGGCUGCACCUGCCGCAUAUGGAAGUUCCUGGGCUAGGGAGCAAAUUGGAGCUGUAGCCAUCAGCCUACGCCACAGUCACAGCGAUGCCAAAUCUGAGCCUCAUCUGUGACCUGUGCCUCAGCUUGAAACAAUGCUGGAUCUUUAACCCACUGAGUGAGGCCAGGGAUCAAACCUACAUCCUCAUGACACUAUGUCAGGUUCUUAACCCAAUGAGCCACAGUGGGAACUCCCUACAUGAAGGAUUAUUAAAAAUAGAUAUCAUACUUAAUGCUAGAGAAUGUCACGGUCUUUUGUUAAAUUUCACUUCAUCUGUGAAAUGGGUACACUAUUUAGCACAAUUAGACUUCGUGAGGAUGGAAAGCAUCUGGGUCAAGAGUACGUAUGCCUGAGGUCAGAUUUCUGAGGCUGGAACUGAGGUCAGAACGAGCAGGGCCUGGUUCCCAAAGAAAACUUGGGGUUAAUAUUACUAUUGUCACCUAGCUAUCAAGUCCCAGAGUGGAUAUCAUUCAUUCCGGAGUUUUCUGAAUUUCCUCCAUGAUAAAUCCUGGGGUACUUUCUAAACACACAGCUUCCCCAGCUCAUUUCCCAGCUCUUCCCUAGAAAUGGGACAUGGACUAUGGCUGCUAAACUUGUAUUUAAGGCGACCCUCUAAGUGAUUCUUAUCAUCAGGGAUGUUAGGGAAACAUGAACCCUGUUUGCUCAGCUGGAAGCAGCUGUCUCUUUCUUUGAUCUCGCUAAGAACUCCUUGUAUUCUCUUUAAUCCAUUUCUACUUUGCAGUAUUAUUAUUUUUGUAAUGUACAUGUCUUUAUCUCUACUAAUGAUAGCCAACACUUCCGGAGCUCUCAUUAGGUG
rnacentral:lncRNA from 1 species